rnacentral:rRNA from 1 species
AUUGAACGCUGGCGGUAUGCCUAACACAUGCAAGUCGAACGAGUGGCGGACGGGUGAGGAAUACAUCGGAAUCUUCUCUGUCGUGGGGGAUAACGUAGUGAAACUUACGCUAAUACCGCAUACGACUGCAUGAGCCGAUGUCGGAUUAGCUAGUUGGCGGGGGAAAGGCCCAUCAAGGCGUCGAUCCGUAGCUGGUCUGAGAGGAUGAUCAGCCACACUGGAACUGAGACACGGUCCAGACUCCUACGGGAGGCAGCAGUGGGGAAUAUUGGACAAGGGGCGCAAGCCUGAUCCAGCAAUCCCGCGUGGGUGAAGAAGGCCUUCGGGUUGUAAAGUACUUUUGUUGGGAAAGCGUUACCAACAGAAUAAGCACCGGCUAACUUCGUGCCAGCCGCCGCGGUAAUUC